rnacentral:sRNA from 1 species
GUCUUCCCCACACUCUCCACCUCACAUUCCACCUUUCUAUUGCCCUCUGGUUUUCCCCCCUAUGGGGCUGCCUUCCAUCUGUGUUCAUUUCUCCCAUUUUUCCCAUGCGAACCGGUUGCCUUGAGCAGUGGGAUUGUGUCACCACUCUGUUCCAGAUUACAUGGCAAUUACCAAAUCAGCUCAAGCUGCCCUUGCAUCAUGCACUUUUGAUUGAUUGAUCCAUUAAGCUCUUCCUCUCACCCUUUCAUGCCUCCUCUCUGUUCAUACCCCCUCGAAAUUAAUUACUCGCUAAUACAACAGCAAGCAUCAGCAACCUGCCUUGGCUGAAGAACUGUCCAUAAGGGUGGAGUUCAGAGACCAACUCAGGGAGCAGCCAG